CCGAGUGCGGGCCCUCGCGGCCCAACCUCCCACCCGUGUCUAUGUGAAUCCCCUGUUGCUUUGGCGGGCCCACCGGGCCACCGGUCGCCGGAGGACGUUGCGUCCUCGGGCCCGCGCCCGCCGGAGCACCCACAGAACCCUUCUGAAGAUGGACUGUCUGAGCGUGAUUGAUAAUCAUCA
rnacentral:misc_RNA from 1 species